GACGAACGCUGGCGGCGUGCUUAACACAUGCAAGUCGAACGAUGAAGCUAGAGCUUGCUCUGGUGAAUUAGUGGCGAACGGGUGAGUAACACGUGAGUAACCUGCCCCGAACUCUGGGAUAACUGCUGGAAACGGUAGCUAAUACUGGAUACGACCUACGAAGGCAUCUUCUGUAGGUGGAAAGAAUUUCGGUUCGGGAUGGACUCGCGGCCUAUCAGCUUGUUGGUGAGGUAAAGGCUCACCAAGGCGACGAUCCGUAGCUGGUCUGAGAGGACGAUGAGCCACACUGGGACUGAGACACGGCCCAGACUCCUGCGGGAGGCAGCAGUAGGGAAUCUUGCGCAAUGGGCGAAAGCCUGACGCAGCGACGCCGCGUGAGGGAAGAAGGCCUUCGGGUUGUAAACCUCUUUCAGGAGGGGCGAAGCCACUCGGGUUAAUAGCCUAGAGGGUGACGGUACCUCCAGAAGAAGCCCCGGCUAAC
rnacentral:rRNA from 1 species